rnacentral:tRNA from 1 species
UAAUAAGUGGCUGAGCAUUAAGCGGUGAUCUCUUAAGUCAUUUACGUUUUAUACCUUAUUAA